GUUCAAGUUAAAUUAGGUCAAUUACAAAUACAGUGUGUUUUCAGAUCUUAAAUUAGUCUCCGUCACGAACUUACACAAUAAGUCUCCACAAAUAUGACUGAUAUUAAAGGGUAACUACCAUGGACAUUCCUACAUUUUUUGAAGCAAAAGUACAACAUUAGUUAUGUUUCCCAAUGGUUUUUUUUCUCUGAUAUGGAUCCAUUGUCUUUUCAUUUACAUUUCAUUAAAAGUUUU